UUGAGCACACAACGCUCAUGCUCUUGAGGAGUUCACUGGAAAAAGCCAGCUCUUUUCUCCAUCAACGUGUUCGGGAAGCCAUUUUCUCAUACAAAACAAACUGCAAUUUCCGUCGUCGAUCGGCAGCUACUUCAGCUAUGGAUUCUUCUAGUUCUAGUUCUAGUUCUAGUUCCCCGCCUUGUAAGCUUGUUUUAUGUGGAAAAUCUUCGGCGGAGAAUGAGAUUGCCGAAUCGCUCAAGAACAAUAACACUCUGAAGCUCCCUGACAACGACGCCGUUUCGGUUCUUCUGCAGUCGGAAUGGGAUAAACCGUUGGAUGAUGGAGAUUCCUUUAGAAUCGAUUCGUUCAUGAACUCUCUCUCUACCAAUCGGUUCGGUAGGUUCCUCUUGUGGUCUCCACUGUUGACUUCCACACACGACGUCGUCUCUCACAAUUUCGGUGAGCUUCCAGUUGGUGCGGUCUGUGUUGCUGAUGUUCAGUACAAAGGGAGGGGCCGGUCGAAGAAUGUAUGGCAAUCGCCAAAGGGAUGCCUGUUGUUCUCUUUUACAUUGCAAAUGGAGGAUGGAAGAGUUGUACCUCUUGUACAAUAUGUGGUGUCUCUUGCUGUCACAGAAGCCAUUAAAGAUAUUUGUGAUAAAAAUGGCUUACCAUAUGUUGAUGUUAAAAUAAAAUGGCCGAAUGAUCUUUACUUGAAUAACCUCAAAGUCGGAGGAAUUCUAUGCACCUCAACAUAUAAAUCGAAGAAGUUCAAUAUUAGUGCUGGUAUAGGUUUGAAUGUUGACAACGAGAAACCUACAAUAUGUUUGAAUGGACUACUUAGAGAACUGUCUGUUGUGGCUUAUCAAUUUGAAAGAGAAGAUAUUCUUGCCUCCUUCUUUAACAAAUUUGAAAUAUUUUAUGACCUUUUCAUGGAUCAAGGAUUUCAAAGUCUCGAGGAGCUAUACUAUAAGACAUGGCUACACAGUGGACAGAGAGUUAUUGUGCAGGAAAAGAAUGAGGACCAAGUGGUAGAAAAUGUGGUUACAGUUCAGGUGUGACUAAUAUAAAGAGUUGCUGGAUAAGUUAUCUAAAACUCUGAAUACAUGCGUAGACAAAUGAAAUUAUGUGCUCAAUUUCUUUUAAAAUAAGCAUAAACUUGCAGGGUUUGACAUCUUCAGGAUAUUUAUUAGCUAUUGGUGAUGACAAUCAAAUGUGUGAACUUCAUCCUGAUGGCAAUAGUUUUGACUUCUUCAAAGGGCUGGUUAGACGGAAGCUUGAUUGAAGAUUCCUUGGCACCGUCCACCGUCAACUACAAAACUUGCUGUGUCAUGUGAACUACUGAGCAUACUUUUCCACAUUUUAUCUUUUUCUCUUCGUCUGUUCACUUACAUCAAGUUAUUCACUUUUUUUUUUUUUUAUUCUUUUUAUCCUUUUUUUCUUUCCGUACCUAAUAAUUAUAAAAGUUUUAUAUAAUAAUCUUUGUACUGUACA